UCUGUCAUUCAACAGACCGUGCAGCAAGCGCUGUUGUAGCCGCGAGGCUACAGCCACGACCCCAACAAGAUCUCUGCCCCCAGCAGCUUCAGAAGGACCAGAGAGCAGUAGUUAGGUGAGAAAACUGAAGCUUGGAGAGGUUAAGUUGCCCAACUUCACACAGCCAGAACAUAUGACCCUUGGGAGCAGAGGCUAACAAAGUGGGGUGCAAGAGGCCAAUUCAAAUCCUCCAAAACAAGGUCAAGUAACCCAAGAGGCUUGCGUUUCCGUCACAAACUGUUUAGAAAUUGUGCUCAGAUCUCUGACUCAGACCAGGUGUCCUCCCCACAUGGGCAAGGCCUGGUAGGGAGGCCACUCCAGUCUUUUCCAAUAGCAAUAUAUAACCCUGCGGUCUGAGCAGCACUGGAGGCUGGCCGGGAACCACCCACGGCUACCGCUGGGAAGCCAGACCUGUCUCAUAGCCCUCCGUCUUCAUGUCAUUGAGCCCCAGUUCCUCGUUUUGGUCAAAUGUGCGAUUAUAGUGCUCCACCUUCAUCUCAGGAUCAUCUUCUGGUGCGUACACGUUCUGCAAGGCCAAGGACAGACCAUCAGUGCCUGUGCCAUCCUGCCACCCCCACCCCCCCAGACAGCUUCCAAUUCCCACUUUCCCAGGACCUUAAGGAGGUG